GCGCAAACAAAUUAAAUCUAAAACUUGUCACUGUGUUUAGACGACGAAAUGUCGCAGCCAAUUCGCGUCGACAUUCUCUCCGACUCCGACUCCGACUCCGAACCCUGCGGUUAUCGACGGAGUCUCAGAGACGAAGCCAUUGACCUCACUACGCCGCCGCCAUUCCCCCAAUCUAAGAAGAAACAGAAAACCCACAACUUUUCAAACCCUAGUAACUCCACCGUCUUCAUCAUAGACGAUGACCACACGCCAUUUAAGUCAAAUAGGCAAUCCUCUCCCACUCCUUCGCCAUUCUCCGAUGCGUCCCUCGUCAAAUGUUCUAGAGGGACAUCCUCCUUUUCAGUGGCUUCGUGUUUCCUAGCAGAAGGUUUAGCUACUGAGCAACUUGUAGUUGCCGAAACUCCAAUUUCUGAACUUUUGAAAUCUGAGGUUGCGAUCAGCAAGUGCAACACAAGAAUCUCCACUGCCGAAGAUGCUCGUCCUUUUAUUACAAAUCACAACUCUGGUGAAAUCAAGGGAUGGAUAUGUGUGGAGUCAGAUGAUGAAUCUGAAGAUCUUGGCGAAAUUGGAGCUUUGAAGGAUAAUCCAAGUACUUUUGCUGCUAAAUUGGCAGAUGAGACAGAAUUUCCCCCGAGAUUGGUCGAGUCCUCCUCAUUUUCUUGUGCAACUUCCUUUCAACUACAAAGGAAAGCCACACAGAACCCAGUUAGAACGCACAUCUUAGAAGGCUGUUCAACUCCUGGAACAUCAGAAGAUGGCAUAUCUGAGGUUAACAACACAUGUUUCUUGAAAGAGAAAAAGAAAAGAGAUGAAACGGUGAAAUUAAAGAGGACAGCGAAGGAGGAAAGACAUCGUCUGAUGGAAGAAAAGAAAAGGCUCAAAGAACAAGAGAAGUUGCUUAAAGCUGCUUCAAAGGCUGAGGCAGCUGAGAUGAAGAAACGGGAGAAGGAAUUGCAGAAAUGGGAAAAGGGUAAAUAUGCUCUCAAAUCCAUUGUUGCUGAGAUUGAUAAAAAAGUCGUUGAACUGGGAUCAAUUGGAGGACAUCUUCUCACUAGAUUUGCUGAAAAGGGGCUCUCAUAUCGGAUAACUUCAAAUCCAGUAGAAAGAACUAUUGUAUGGAAUAUGGCCGUUCCUGAUGAAAUUUCUCAGAUUGCUCCUGAAAGAAUUAUGAUCUCAUAUAUACUAGUUGUAUAUGAGGCUGAAGAGUUCUGUAACCUUGUCGUAAAUGAGUCUCUGAUGGAUCAUAUUCAGAGUGUUCAACAUCGUUAUCCUCAUCACACUAUAUGUUACGUCACAAAUAAGCUUAUGGCUUAUAUCAAUAAAAGGGAACAAGCACAGUACAAGAACCCUGCUAACAACUGUGGUUGGAAGCGACCUGUUGUAGAGGAGGUCUUCGCAAAAUUUGCCACCCAUUUUUCUAAAGUACAUUCAAGGCAGUGUGUUGAUGAAGCUGAAUUAGCUGAACACGUGGUUGGUCUAACUUGCAGCCUUGCAAAUUGCCAAUUUAGGAAAAGACUGACGCGGUUUUCAGUUAAUGCAAAUGGAUCUGCUAUCCCUAAAGAUUGUGUUGAUAAGAACUUAAUUAAGAAGAAUUUGUGGCUAAAGGCACUGGUAGCUAUCCCUAAGGUGCAGCCACGAUUCGCUAUGGCUAUAUGGAAGAAAUAUCCCACAAUGAAAUCUCUUUUAAGAGUUUACAUGAAUCCAACAAAAUCUGUAAUUUUGUUGGUUAUGCAAACCUUAUUACCUUUUCAAAACCAGUCAUGAGAAGGAAUUUCUGCUCAAGGACUUAAUGACAGAAGGCUACUCGGUGAUGAUAGAUAACUUGGCAAGGUUUGUUCUAAAGAGAAUCUGCAGAAUCCUUAUUGCUCAAUGCAGAAACAUCAAGACAGAUGAUGUUGAGAACGUGGCCGAUCUCUUUAAUCUCCAUCAAUGGAAACAGUUGAGAUUCACUCAAUGCCAACUUUUCUUCACUAAGCUGUGCUGCUCCAAAUCUAUGAGACCAUCACAUAAACAUAAAGUUGCAAGUAGUGAUGCUAAGAUUAGAGCAUACAUCUCCCUGUGAGCUGCUAGCGUAGUAGCGGACAUCUUGCCUUUGCAAAGUGAAGCAUGCUUCUACUUGUUUCUUCACACACUGCUGUGUGUGUUAUCAUUUUUUGGAGACACAAGAUACCAGAAAACAGAGGACAGGCUGGCAGAUGACAACAACAAUUUUCAUGGUAGUUAAUAUGUUGUCUGAAUAAAGAGAGUGCUUUGCGCAUGCUUGAGUGGUGAGGAAGGGCUUGAGCCAUGUGACCUAGGAAUUGACAUUGUGGAUUAUUCAUUUCUGCAGUUUCUACUUAUUUUGUACAUUACGAUGUUAAAGCUCGAGGCUAGCUUCCUAUAUGAAGACUCUUAGCAGUAUCAUGAGUUCGAUUCUACAGUGUGUUUAUGUAUGUCGUCACUGUGGCUCUUUGUUGGAAAAAAAAAUAAAAAAUGUACAGGCUUGGAGUUGUUGUAAUAUUGGUAGUGUCGAGCGUAAUAUUUGUUUUGUUAUUUAUUUAUAUAUUGGUUGUA